CAGGGCUCGGUGGGGCUGGAGUCCAUAAAACCUGAAGUGACUCCUCCCGAGCGCCCUUGGGCUCUCCUGUCUCUUGGAAGUGGACAGCAGGGCCACAGGUGUGCGCCACCACAGCCACCCGAGCCAGAUUCCCCUCUGCUGAGAAGCCCGGGCUGUGGGCGGCCUCCUCAGCCUGCGUCUGCUGGGCCGGGCCCAGACGUGGACCAGCCCCUCGCUGGAGGAGGGAUGCAGCUCUGCCCUACGAGGAUCUCACUAAGUUGUCCAGGCUGACUUCAAACUUGCAAUCCUCCUGCCUCAGCCUCCCGAGCAGCCAUCCUCCGAGCUGGUUUUCGCAGGACCCUCGACCCCUAGUGUGGUCACUCUGUCCCUUCUCCUGUGGCCGCCUCUCAAGACUUCUCUGGGUGACGGCACCCGUAUCUCCCUCCCUCGGCCGCUGUCCCCACCAAGGUCCCGAGGCUGGCCACGUGCGUCCAACCCCCUUUCAUCUCUGCCCUCGCGCUUGUCAGGCACCCACGUGGCAUUGGCACUGUGGCCCUGGGCCCGGCCUUGGGCUCUCUGAGGUCAACACCACGCACAUCUGGACCUUGAGGACAAGUGGCCCGGGUAAGAUGGCCAGGGCAAGCUGGGGCCAAAGGAGGGGGUGGCGUCAGGCCCAGGCCGGCCAAGGCCUCAGCAAAGUGACUCCCCCUUUCCAAGGACUGCCAACAUCACUAGGACCACAGCAAUCCCUAGUGCAAGGAAUCAAUAAAUGUGUAUUAAUUCAGGAGUUGCUACCUGAUGCCUAAUGCAUGAAUUCGCUAACUGAUGACUUCAAGCAUUCACCGAGUACCCGCCUGGUUGUGAGAGAGGAGAGACCAGCGUCUCCCUCCAGGAACCUGC
rnacentral:lncRNA from 1 species